AUACGUAGGGGGCAAGCGUUAUCCGGAUUUACUGGGUGUAAAGGGAGCGUAGACGGCAAAGCAAGUCUGAAGUGAAAGCCCCGGGCUCAACCCGGGAAUUGCUUUGGAAACUGUUUAGCUAGAGUGCAGGGGAGGUAAGCGGAAUUCCUAGUGUAGCGGUGAAAUGCGUAGAUAUUAGGAGGAACACCGGCGGCGAAGGCGGCUUACGGGACUGUAACUGACGUUGAGGCUCGAAAGCGUGGGGAGCAAACAGGAUUAGAUACCCUGGUAGUCCACGUCGUAAACGAUGAUUACUAGGUGUUGGUUGUCAUAGACAAUCGGUGCCGCAGCAAACGCAAUAAGUAAUCCACCUGGGGAGUACGUUCGCAAGAAUGAAACUCAAAGGAAUUGACGGGG
rnacentral:rRNA from 1 species